rnacentral:rRNA from 1 species
CUCUUUUCGUUUAUUUGAAAAGUAUAACCUGCCCACUGAUUUUUAUUGAAGGGCCGCGGUAUUUUGACCGUGCAAAGGUAGCAUAAUCAUUAGUCUCUUAAUUAGGGGCUGGAAUGAAUGGUUGGACGAGAUAUAUACUGUCUUAUUAUUUGAAUUAGAAUUUAAUUAUUAAGUAAGAAAGCUUAAAUAUUAUUAUGGGACGAGAAGACCCUAUAGAGUUUAAUAUUUAAUUUUGUUAUGUUUGUUUGUAUAUUUUUUUAUAAAUUUUGGUAUUUUGUUGGGGUGAUGAGAAGAUAAAUUAAACUCUUUUUAUUGUUUAUAUUGAUAUAUAGUUUAUUGAUCCAUUAAUAGUGAUUAUAAGACUAAAUUACCUUAGGGAUAACAGCGUAAUCUUUUUUGAGAGUUCUAAUCGACAAAAAGGGUUGCGA